AGUCAUAUGCUUGUCUCAAAGAUUAAGCCAUGCAUGUUCCAGUAUGAGUUUUCAUAUAACGAAACUGCGAAGGGCUCAUUAAAUCGGUUAUUAAAACAUCGGUGCGUUCUAUAUGGUUAUCCGUGAUAAUUCUACGGUUAAUACAUGUACGGCCCUUCGGGGUGCCUAUAUUUUGUUGAUGGCGUAACAGGCUUGCCUGGUUGUCAUGAAGAAAUUAUCUGUGCUUAUCAUUUCACUGAAAGAAGCUCCGAAUUUAUUUCCGCCCUAUCAGCUUUCGCCGGUAGCGUAGUGGUCUACCGUGGCAGUGACGGGUAACGGGGAAUUAGGGUUUGACUCCGGA
rnacentral:rRNA from 1 species